AUGCCGCGUGAGUGAUGAAGGCCUUCGGGUUGUAAAGCUCUUUCGCACGCGACGAUGAUGACGGUAGCGUGAGAAGAAGCCCCGGCUAACUUCGUGCCAGCAGCCGCGGUAAUACGAAGGGGGCUAGCGUUGUUCGGAAUUACUGGGCGUAAAGGGCGCGUAGGCGGUGUGUCAAGUCAGGCGUGAAAGCCCCGGGCUCAACCUGGGAACAGCGCUUGAGACUGGCACGCUCGAGUUCGGGAGAGGAUGGUGGAAUUCCCAGUGUAGAGGUGAAAUUCGUAGAUAUUGGGAAGAACACCGAUGGCGAAGGCAGCCAUCUGGACCGACACUGACGCUGAGGCGCGAAAGCGUGGGGAGCAAACAGGAUUAGAUACCCUGGUAGUCCACGCCGUAAACGAUGAGUGCUAGACGUCGGGGCCCUUAGGGCUUCGGUGUCGCAGCUAACGCAUUAAGCACUCCGCCUGGGGAGUACGGCCGCAAGGUUAAAACUCAAAGGAAUUGACGGGG
rnacentral:rRNA from 1 species